GAUGAACGCUGGCGGCGUGCCUAAUACAUGCAAGUCGAGCGAACAGACGAGGAGCUUGCUCCUCUGACGUUAGCGGCGGACGGGUGAGUAACACGUGGAUAACCUACCUAUAAGACUGGGAUAACUUCGGGAAACCGGAGCUAAUACCGGAUAAUAUAUUGAACCGCAUGGUUCAAUAGUGAAAGACGGUUUUGCUGUCACUUAUAGAUGGAUCCGCGCCGCAUUAGCUAGUUGGUAAGGUAACGGCUUACCAAGGCAACGAUGCGUAGCCGACCUGAGAGGGUGAUCGGCCACACUGGAACUGAGACACGGUCCAGACUCCUACGGGAGGCAGCAGUAGGGAAUCUUCUGCAAUGGGCGAAAGCCUGGCGGAGCAACGCCGCGUGAGUGAUGAAGGUCUUCGGAUCGUAAAACUCUGUUAUUAGGGAAGAACAAAUGUGUAAGUAACUAUGCACGUCUUGACGGUACCUAAUCAGAAAGCCACGGCUAACUACGUG
rnacentral:rRNA from 1 species